CCUACGGGCGGCAGCAGUGGGGGAUAUUGGGCAAUGGGCGCAAGCCUGAUCCAGCAACGCCGCGUGAAGGAAGAAGUCUUUCGGGUUGUAAACUUCUUUUCUCAGGGACGAAGAAAGUGACGGUACCUGAGUAAUAAGCCACGGCUAACUACGUGCCAGCAGCCGCGGUAAUACGUAGGGGGCAAGCGUUAUCCGGAUUUACUGGGUGUAAAGGGAGUGUAGGCGGGACUGCAAGUCAGAUGUGAAAGGCGGGGGCUCAACCUGUGGCCUGCUCUUGAAACUGUAUAUCUGGAGUGCAGGAGAGGCAGGCGGAAUUCCUAGUGUAGCGGUGAAAUGCGUAGAUAUUAGGAGGAACACCAGUGGCGAAGGCGGUCUGCUGGACUGCAACUGACGCUGAGGCGCGAAAGCGUGGGGAGCAAACAGGAUUAGAUACUCCUGUAGUC
rnacentral:rRNA from 1 species